rnacentral:rRNA from 1 species
CUACGGGCGGCAGCAGUGGGGAAUUUUGGACAAUGGGCGCAAGCCUGAUCCAGCCAUUCCGCGUGAGUGAAGAAGGCCUUCGGGUUGUAAAGCUCUUUCGCAAGGGAAGAAAACUUAUCCUCUAACAUAGGGUGAGGUUGACGGUACCUUGAUAAGAAGCACCGGCUAACUACGUGCCAGCAGCCGCGGUAAUACGUAGGGUGCGAGCGUUAAUCGGAAUUACUGGGCGUAAAGCGUGCGCAGGCUGGUUUGUAAGUCAGAUGUGAAAUCCCCGAGCUCAACUUGGGAACUGCGAUUGAAACUACAAGACUAGAAUAUGUCAGAGGGGGGUAGAAUUCCAUGUGUAGCAGUGAAAUGCGUAGAGAUGUGGAGGAAUACCAAUGGCGAAGGCAGCCCCCUGGGAUAAUAUUGACGCUCAUGCACGAAAGCGUGGGGAGCAAACAGGAUUAGAUACCCUUGUAGUC